GAAUUAUAAACAAUCAAGUAAUUUAUAAUUUUUACAUGAUAAACAUUUUCCGAGGUUUGUGAAUUUACAUAGCUUGUUCAAUGAAUGUUGCUCCCAUCUCUCACAUCUAACUUAGGCCAUUCCUUCUACUUCCCCUUCUGAGAGCCGAGACCAUUGUUAUAGUAUACCAUGCCUGACCAUAUAUUAAUUGUAAAGAAGGAAAGUGCAAGAAAAAAAGGUAAUUUAAUUAGGUUAAGUGUAGUGAAUAAAGUUGUGUUGUUAACCUUCUU
rnacentral:lncRNA from 1 species